rnacentral:rRNA from 1 species
GACGAACGCUGGCGGCGUGCUUAACACAUGCAAGUCGAACGGAAAGGCCCUGCUUUUGUGGGGUGCUCGAGUGGCGAACGGGUGAGUAACACGUGAGUAACCUGCCCUUGACUUUGGGAUAACUUCAGGAAACUGGGGCUUAUACCGGCUAGGAGCUCCUGCUGCAUGGUGGGGGUUGGAAAGUUUCGGCGGUUGGGGAUGGACUCGCGGCUUAUCAUCUUGUUGGUGGGGUAGUGGCUUACCAAGGCUUUGACGGGUAGCCGGCCUGAGAGGGUGACCGGCCACAUUGGGACUGAGAUACGGCCCAGACUCCUACGGGAGGCAGCAGUGGGGAAUAUUGCACAAUGGGCGGAAGCCUGAUGCAGCAACGCCGCGUGCGGGAUGACGGCCUUCGGGUUGUAAACCGCUUUCGCCUGUGACGAAGCGUGAGUGACGGUAAUGGGUAAAGAAGCACCGGCUAACUACGUG